UUCUAACUUAUCUCUCUAGAGUCCAGAUCAACUCUCCAUUCUUCUCUUCUUCUGUGUGUUUUUUUUUUUUGCUUCUCAGUCUCCACCAAAGAUAGAGAAAAAAAAAACCAAACCCUCACCCCCUGCCUUCGAUUAACUAUGCAAAAGCCAAGCCGGUGUCUUUUCCAGAUUUGAAUAUAUGCAAGUCGACGAUAACCUAAACCGGCUUCAAUCUCUUCUCUUCGGAACCGAACUCGCCGCCGAGAGAAAAGACUUCUCCUCCGCUCAGAUCUGCAGUCUUCGUCCCACAGUCCCACUCGAUCUCAGCUCGACCAUGCUUUCGUCAGCCUUAUUCUCCGCAAAGCCGUCUCCAAGCUCGGUGAGGCUCGUUGUCCGCGCAUUUCUGAUUCCGAUUGUGGGUUUGGCUUGGAAUCCUUGGAUUGUUGAUUAUGGAUUUUGGGUUCUGUAAUUUCAUACCAGUGAGUUCUUGUUUCCCCUAAAAUUGUUAAUUUUUGAUAUGAUCUUUAUUUAUUGUUUAAUCGUGUAUAUUAGGUUUAUAUUGAUCUUGUUAGGGAUUUGAGUGUGGAAUUUUGGGGAGCGGAUUCAGUUUACGACUGAAUGUGGAAUUUUGUUAGGUACGACUGAAUGUCAGCACAGGAGACUCGAGUCCCCGACAUCUUCCCCCCUCAUGGCAUCAACAGCUUCAAUUAACUUGAGUGUCUCGGUGAUAGUCACCAUUUCAAAAAAACAGCAGUCCACACCACCUCUUGGCGACCCAACCCGGAGAUGAGUUCCGGCACCCACCGACCUCCUUCACCAACUCGAUCAUUCAAGCAACAGACACUCCGAGAUCAUUCAAGCAACAAACACUUCGAGAUUCAAAAAAAAAAAAAAGAUGAUUUGCUCAGGACACCUUGUAUCUCAGCACCUUCUCUAAGUACCCCGGACAAUCAUCUCGGUGACUUCCUGCAAGUCCACUCGUGACACCAACUUCGCUUGCAAUUGCCUGGAAACUGGGAACACAGCAACUAAAACAAAGCUAAGCUAUCUCAGCUUCUCAGUCUUAAUUAUACCAUGAAACUAACUUAUUCCUUCGGCAUAUAUAUAUAUACAUUAUGACAGCUCACCAAGCAUGAAGUGUAUGUACUACACCACACAUCAUAGCAUGCACAAUUAUAAAUGGACAUGUGUUCUUUGCUAGUCCCUUAUGCUCAUGGUCAUCAUUAUAGUCAACUUCCUUUAAAAGUAGAGUUACAACACAUUUCGUAUGCCUGUGAUCUAUAUAUGCCGCUGCCAAUACAUGUUGCAAUAGGAUACUUUGCCUCUUAAUUGAUAUUAUGUUCAACAUGCACACGUCCAACUUAGGCUCUAUGGCACAAUUCAUAGAUGUCAAGUGUACAUCUUACCAUUAUAUAAUUAAAUAUGAUACAUGGUAUUGGCAGAGCACAUCUAGUGCACAUCAAUAUAGCAUAUUUCCUAUAUCUACAUUUUACUUCUUCAAUUCCACAUUAAAUUUGUUGCUACUUACCUUGCCAUGGCUACCCAUGAUUAUUAUGAACUUGUGAUCAGUAUAUAUCUCCCAUGCACCAAAGCCUGAGACCCCAAGGCGCAACUUCUUAUUCUUAACAACUGCACCAACAUGCUAGUUAAAGCAUUUUCAAUUAAACAUCUUUUGAAAGUGGCAUGACCUAGCUAGUGUAGAACUUCACUACCACUUGAAACAUCAUGAGUGUUACGGGUAUACACAUGCUAGCAUACUACCGGUACCACGCAUCUACAUGCAUGGUCAAAUAUGGCUACUAUUUGCUAGCUCGGGUACAUGCCAUGCAUGUAUGUGUUACAUUUAGUCCUCACCACAUGGGAGCUGCAUUGCUCGAUCACCACGUACUCUUCAAGUAUAGUGUACAUAUUUCUUUCCUGCUAGUAUGCAGACACUUAUCAUAGAGGUCUAUAUCUCAUUCAUUUUAAGGUAACCACCAUCAUGUGUUGCACACAAAUUUAAUUGUUUUCACAUGUUCUUUUGGGCGAGGGAAUUGAUAUAUUCAUUCUAACGUGCAUACCAUUCACACCACUCUGACCGAAUUCAUAAUUCGCCUAUCACAUAAUAACUUAAUUUGUGCCUAUUCCAUGCUACUUAUGUUCCCAGCAACAGACACAAGAACUUCAUGAGGCCUUUGUUGGAGCUGUCAACCAGCUAAAAUAAUUGUCUUCUUUAUUUCUUUUGUUUCUGUUUUCACAUGUUUCUGUGCUCUGUUUUCUUUUAAUUAACUAGAAUAGCAAAUGAUCUCCACAAUCCCUAAAAAUUUACCAGUAUCCAGUUUAGUGUGUUAGCUUAGUGUCUGUAAAAUUUCAUUGAAAUCGGAGUAGUUUAAGUUAGGUUUUUAUUCUCAUUUUGGUUUCUGGUCAUAGUGUUAGUUAAUCUGUUAUUUAAUAGAAGAUUUGUUGAUGGAUGAAUUGUAGCUUCAUUAUGCAAGCGAAAACUCGAGCAUUUCUUUAGAACAGAUUAUUUACCAUAAUGCAAUUUUUACUCCUUUGGUUUCAGGGGCAAUGACGGCUUUGCUUCGAAAUCUUGAUCAUUGCCUCUCAAGCUAUUCAUCUGUUAUACGAAAAUCCGAGAUAGAGGAUGCAGAGGAAUGCUUCAAACUAUUUUCUUUGGAAUAGGCGGCUAAAUUUGACGAAGUGACCCUUGCCAAUGUGAACAACUUCAAAAAGCGCUCAAAAAGCCAGUCACCUAAUGCAAUCCACAAAGAAUAUAUAGUGGUUACAAUUCUGGUGGCUACUGAUGGAGAACAGAAGUUGCCCACCAUCAGUGGCACUCAUGACUUGAAGAAAGCAUUACAUAAACUUGGAGCCAUUUCCUCGAACAAAAUAAUGAUGAUUUCUUCCAAGGAAGCAAGCUGCUU